rnacentral:snRNA from 1 species
GGAUGUGAGGGCAAUCUGGCUGAGACAUCUGUCACCCCAUUGAUCGAUCGCCAGGGUUGAUUCGGCUGAUCUGGCUGGCUAGGCGGGUGUCCCCUUCCUCCCUCACCACUCCAUGUGCAUCCCUCACAAAGUUGUGCACUUGGUUGAAGAAGAUGGCCUUCCCCGAAUAGAGACGAACAGGUCUUAGGUCUAGGGUAUAAGCAGCUCUGCUCCCCUGAUAGAACCUCCAAACAAGCUCUCAAGAAUAGGAAAGCUAUCAAGGGAAGAGAUGGGAUAUGGAGUUCUGGUGGUGGGAAUUGUGUGGAAUCGUACCCCUCUUA